CACGUAGGGCGCAAGCGUUGUCCGGAAUUAUUGGGCGUAAAGAGCUCGUAGGCGGUCUGUUGCGUCCGCUGUGAAAACUCGGGGCUUAACCCCGAGCCUGCAGUGGAUACGGGCAGACUAGAGGUAGGUAGGGGAGAAUGGAAUUCCCGGUGUAGCGGUGAAAUGCGCAGAUAUCGGGAGGAACACCAGUGGCGAAGGCGGGUCUCUGGACAGUUCCUGACGCUGAGGCACGAAGGCCAGGGGAGCAAACGGG
rnacentral:rRNA from 1 species